rnacentral:rRNA from 1 species
AUUGAACGCUAGCGGGAUGCUUUACACAUGCAAGUCGAACGGAGUGGCGGACGGGUGAGUAAUAGAUCGGAACGUGCCCAGGAGCGGGGGAUAACUACGCGAAAGAGUGGCUAAUACCGCAUACUAGUGGAGCGGCCGAUAUCGGAUUAGCUAGUUGGUGGGGUAAAGGCUCACCAAGGCAACGAACCGUAGCUGGUUUGAGAGGAUGACCAGCCACACUGGGACUGGGCCACGGCCCAGAUUCCUACGGGAGGCAGCAGUGGGGAAUUUUGGCCAUUGGGGGAAACCCUGAUCCAGCCAUCCCGCGUGUAUGAUGAAGGCCUUCGGUUUGUAAAGUCCUUUUGGCAGAGAAGCGUUAUCUGCAGAGUAAGCACCGGCUAACUACGUGCCAGCAGCCGCGGUAAUUC